UCCUCAUCUUGUAAGCCAAAGAAGAUCUCUCUGUAUCUAUUCUGUUUAGGUUUGGCUCUAACUUUUAACUUGUUCAUGGUUGGAGCACUGCACUUAAAGUGGGGCUGGUUUUAUUUAUUUUUUGAACAUCUUGUGUGCUGGACCAACUCCCAAAAGAGAAAGGCAGAGAAAGGUUGACUCUCCCUAGGUGAGCGGUAGAGAGAGGAUGUCCUCAGGUGAGAUAUGGAAAGGAAAUCAAUAAUUCUUGUUUUUUUUCUGAUGCCACUGAGUCAUUUUUAUUUAGUGGGUCUAUUUUUAUGAAAGCAACUAUCGGCUACUGCUUUGUUAUUUAUUUGUUAUUUAAACAACACUGGAGUGUUUUAUUAAAGUGAAAAUUAAGUGGAUGGAGUGAUGUAAGGAAAUCAUUGAGUAAUUGUGCUUGUGAGGACUGUGUGUUUAGGUUAGUUUUGUGUAGUGUGGAUGUGUAGGUUAAUUAUUUCACUUGUCAUAUUACCUGAUUUUUAAAAUGUUUAUUUUAAAAAAAUGAUAUAUUGUUAUUAUGUUGCAUUUUGAGAUACUUUGAUAUAUUUCAAUGUUUUGUGUGGUAUGGUUUGUUUUGUGGCUUCUGGUGUUUUAUGUACAUCGCCUAGAGAUAUUUAUUUAAUUAUAUUACUUAAACUGUGGAAUUGUGAUUAUGAUUAUUCAUAGUUUAAUUUAAUCAUUGUUAGAUUUUGAAUCUGAAAUUUGUAUUUAUUAUAUUAAUUCCUUUUUGUUGAGAUUUUGUAAGCCACUUAGCAAUUUCUGCUGAAAUCCUAAGCAGUAUGUAAAUUAACUAAAUCAAUAAAGCUCUUGAAUAUACUUUAGAUAUUAAACUUCUACCAUCCAA